GAUGAAGAACGUAGCGAAAUGCGAUACGUAAUGUGAAUUGCAAAUUCAGUGAAUCAUCGAGUCUUUGAACGCACAUUGCGCCCCCUGGUAUUCCGGGGGGCAUGCCUGUCCGAGCGUCAUUGCUGCCCUCAAGCACGGCUUGUGUGUUGGGCCCCGUCCUCCGAUCCCGGGGGACGGGCCCGAAAGGCAGCGGCGGCACCGCGUCCGGUCCUCGAGCGUAUGGGGCUUUGUCACCCGCUCUGUAGGCCCGGCCGGCGCUUGCCGAUCAACCCAAAUUUUUAUCCAGGUUGACCUCGGAUCAGAUAGGGAUACCCGCUGAACUUAAGCAUAUCAAUAAGCGGAGGA
rnacentral:misc_RNA from 1 species